UACAGAGGUCUCAAGCGUUGUUCGGAUUCAUUGGGCGUAAAGGGUGCGUAGGCGGCGCGGUAAGUCGGGUGUGAAAUCCCCGGGCUCAACCUGGGAAUGGCAUUUGGGACUGCAAGGCUUGAGUGCGGCAGAGGAGACUGGAAUUCCUGGUGUAGCAGUGAAAUGCGUAGAUAUCAGGAGGAAUACCGAUGGCGAAGGCAGGUCUCUGGGCUGACACUGACGCUCAUGCACGAAAGCGUGGGGAGCAAACAGG
rnacentral:rRNA from 1 species